rnacentral:misc_RNA from 1 species
AAGUCGUAACAAGGUUUCCGUAGGUGAACCUGCGGAAGGAUCAUUAACACGUAUCCAACGUUAAACAACCCUGUGAACCUUUACCAGUUGAUCUCGCAGACCGCGAAAAUGCAGCAAUCCCUGGUAAAUCAUUGCCAAACAGUUGUGAGUCAGGGACCUCUGCAAGUAGUGAGACGAAUAGCUGCGAUCGAUCCUGAGCAAGCGACCUGGCACCCCCAAGCAAUCAAUGUCUGAAAGCGUCAUUAAUUGUGUAAGGGUGGCGCAGUAAACGAUCGUUAGAGGCCGACACGGCCGGCGACCGGGUCCCUGGGCGCAAGCUCCUUUAUCACCAGUACUACCAAUCACCAGCCUCGCGAAUAAGAUCGCAGGGUAAAAAAAACCGAACAACUGUUAACAAUGGAUAUCUUGGUUCUC